rnacentral:tRNA from 1 species
ACCCGGCUGGCUCAGUCGGUAGAGCGUGUGACUCUUGAUCUCAGGGUUGUGAGUUCGAGCCCCAUGUUGGGGG